AGUGGCAGACGGGUGAGUAACGCGUGGGAAUCUACCUUGUAGUGGGGAAUAGCCUUUCGAAAGAGAGGGUAAUACCGCAUGUUUCCAAAUUUAUUUGGAAAAAGACUUCGGUCGCUAUAAGAGGAGCCCGCGUCCUAUCAGGUAGUUGGUGGGGUAAUAGCCUACCAAGCCAAUGACGGGUAGCCGGUGUGAGAGCACGACCGGCCACAAGGUCACUGAAACACGGGGCCUACACCUACGGGUGGCAGCAACCGGGAAUAUUGCGCAAUGGGCGAAAGCCUGACGCAGCGACACCGCGUGUGGGAAGAAGCUUUUCGGAGUGUAAACCACUGUGGCAAGGGAAGAAUUUUUGACGGUACCUUGCUAGAAAGCACCUGCUAACUACGUGCCAGAAGCCUCGGUAAUACGUAGGGUGCAAGCGUUAUCCGGAUUUAUUGGGCGUAAAGAGUUCCGCAGGCGUCUUUACAAGUUUCUUGUUUAAGCCUGAGGCUCAACUUCAGAAAAGCAAGAAAAACUGUAAAGAUUGAGUUUGUAAGGGGAAGCUGGAAUUCUCGGUGGAGGGGUGAAAUCCGUAGAUAUCGAGAGGAACACCAAUCGCGAAGGCAAGCUUCUAAAACAAUACUGACGCUAAGGGACGAAAGCUUGGGUAGCAAAAGGGAUUAGAGACCCCUGUAGUCCAAGCCGUAACUUUCCUCGCUAGUUGCCUGGUUAAUAAUGCAU
rnacentral:rRNA from 1 species